rnacentral:lncRNA from 1 species
AAGGAUUUGGAAUUUCGGCUGAAAAGCAGUUAGUUUUGAUCCUACAGGUGGUGACUGGUAAAUGAUCAUACUGGUAAACUGGUUAUUCUAAGAUGGAAUCACAACAUUCACUUCUGGGUUGCAGACCGCGCUAGUUCCGUACCACUGCCAUGCUGCCCUACGGACAUGGCGGAGGUGCACAACUCCACUAUUCAGUUUACAAAGCCAUCAUGAUGAGAUGGGCUGCCCCUUUGCAAAAUUUGCAUUGGCCUACCUCUUUGUAUCUUCUGCAGCCACAGUAUGCGUAGUAUUGGAUUGUAUUGUAGUAUUGGACAGUCAGCGAAACAUGCGAUGUAUCUUCUGCAUUGGCGGAAUUCCGGCAACAGCCACAGACAGUCGUAAUACAAUCCACAUUGGCCCCUUUGCAAAAGAAUUCCGGCAACAGCCACAGUCAGCGAAACAUCGCAUCUUCUGCAGAACCAGCCCAAGGUUUUAUCCUUGCACAAGCUUCUUGAUAUAUCCUUGAUUGUAAGAACAAGGAGGUAGGGCAACCAAGGUUCCUGCUAGGUGCAUAUUCUCUUUUGCCUCCUAUUCCCAAUUUUCUAGACUAUUCCCUCUUCAUUUUCAUACUCGUCAUAAG